rnacentral:tRNA from 1 species
UGGCUCAGUCGGUUGAGCGUCUGACUUCGGCUCAGGUCAGGAUCUCGUGGUUGGUGGGUUCGAGCCCCAC